ACAAAAAACAUCCUGUUGAUUUAUUAUCGUAAACAAAUUGGUUUGUCAUCAAUCGGUCUAAAUAAUGCGACGCGCCUGCGACGGGCCGAGUCUUGACGUCAGUCAUUAGACGAACUACGUUAGUAAAACGCAUCGCCGCACUUAAAUACGAGUGGGGGGAAACGACUCGAGCAAACCCGCUCUGGCAUUUGUUGCGAACACACGCGCAAACAAAUUGUAACUAUCAUUCCAAGAUGUUCACAAACCCUUUCGAGAGGAAGCACUCUACGCUGCGCCAGACCCUGGACCGCAUCGUCACCACAACCAGACUAAGCUUCCGCAUGAAGAAAGUCCUCCCAUCCAGCAAUGGCAGUGUCUCCGGAAGCAAUUCCUCCGUGGCUUCCACUAUGGACUACAGGAGCAAGAAUACCCUCAAAAGAUGAACUUAUCAAGUGUAAUGUGUUGUGUCAGUGAUAAAAUCAUGCCCUGGAAACUCAUUGAUCAGAUCGAGUUCAUGGGCCGAAAACUUGCUGCGAACCAGUCGUUUGACGUCAAUGGUCGACGGCCGUACACGUUAAGACCACGAGACAAUUUGUAUCGGCUUGAAAAGGGAUUUGCGAUGGAAUUCCGUCUUUAAUUAUGAGAAUAAACUUAAUUAUGUGUAAGAA